rnacentral:rRNA from 1 species
AACGAACGCUGGCGGCAUGCCUAACACAUGCAAGUCGAACGAGACGUUCGGGUCUUGUGGCGCCUGGCUGCGUAACGCGUGGGAACCUUCACUUAGGUUUGGCAUACUUCUGAGAAAUUUGAGCUAAUACCGGAUGAUGUCUUCGGACCAAAGAUUUAUCGCAUUUAGAUGUGCGAGCGUUGGAUUCGCUUGUUGGGUGGGUAAGGGCCUACUAAGGCGACAAUCAAUAGCUGGGCUGAGAGAAAGAUCAGCCACACUGGGACUGGGAAGCGGCCCAGACUCCUACGGGAGGGAGGAGAGGGGAAUGGUGGAACAUGGGCGGAAUGCUGAUCCAGCAAGGCCGGGAGAGUUAUGAAGGUCGUAGAGUAGAAAUGUUCUAUUACCCGUGAUGGUAAUGACGGUAUCGGGUGAGUAAGCCCCGGCUAACUCCGUG